ensembl:lncRNA
GGAGUGUGAAGGUGAACAGAAAGACUCUGGAGCAACAAACCGCCCUUGCUGUCUCUGCCUGGCCGGUUCCCCUCUCUCCACUGGGAUUCUCUGCCUCUAACCCUAUUACAGGGACUGAGUCACUGGCUUACUGGUGCUCUUUCAUGCCGUCCCUAGGAGGGGUGCGUCACUUGAGUGGGUUGAGUCACUGACGUGAUCUUCCUGUCUGGGUUGGUGCUCCCCUUGGGUUGUGCCGUGGCGGAGAUCUUUGUGGGCUAUACUCGGCCUUGUCUCAGGAUGGUAAGUUGGUGGUAUAAGAUAUCCCUCUAGUGGUAUGGGGGCUGUGCUUUGGCAAAGUGGGUGGGGUUAUAUCCUUCCUGUUUGGCCCUGUCCGGGGGUAUCAUCUGAUGGGGCCACAGUGUCUCCUGACCCUUCCUGUCUCAGCCUCCAGUAUUUAUGCUGCAGUAGUUUGUGUCGGGGGGGUAGGGUCAGUUUGUUAUAUCUGGAGUAUUUCUCCUGUCUUAUCCGGUGUCCUGUGUGAAUUUAAGUAUGCUCUCUCUAAUUCUCUCUUUCUCUCUUUCUUUCUCUCUCUCUCUCUCGGAGGACCUGAGCCCCAGGACCAUGCCUCAGGACUACGUGGCAUGGUGACUCCUUGCUGUCCCCAGUCCACCUGGCCGUGCUGCUGCUCCAGUUUCAACUGUUCUGCCUGCGGCUAUGGAACCCUGACCUGUUCACUGGACGUGCUACCUGUCCCAGACCUGCUGUUUUCAACUCUCUAGAGACAGCAGGAGAGUGUCCCACAUGGUCAUUGAAGAGGUCAACAGCAUUCAAGAGUACCUGGACAUAGAGAGGACAUGCAGACAGAGUGUGGAAGCCAUGGCCUCCAAGGUUUGGAUAACCACAUAGGAAGACAGAAAGAGGGAGAGAAGGAUAAGAGAAGGUCUAGCAGAUGAAUCAAAGCCCUUCUUCAAUUUAAAAAAAAGGGGAGAGAAAAAGAUGUUGCUUACAACAACCAUGGAGAGAACAACAUUAUAAAAGCGCUCCAAUAUGGGUCAGACCAGCCUUGUAAAGGUGUCUUUGUUCUCUUCUCUCUCUGGUGAAAACAAUGCAAGAGAAAAAUGAAGACAUCUCUUUUCUUACUGUGAUAAAUGGGCUUUACUGGAACAUCAUAAAAUGAAUCUUCCAGAAUGAACUAAAAUAUCAGAGAACCUUGAAUGCUGUGUCACUGUAUAAUCCUCUAUUGUUCACGCAGGGGACAUGCAAGUCUAAAGGACGGCCUAAACACAGAGUAAAGAAUUUAGAACACAUGAUUACAAAUGCAUUGUUGUCAAUUACAACCACCUGGAAAUAUUGUACUGUUUUCCCGUGAAAUGUAUUUUCAUGUCAAAUGAUGAGCUUCCCUUAUAUUUAUAUACUACCUUUGUAGUGCCUCUCAAACCCCUCCUCGGGUAUCCCCAGAUGUUUCACCAUUUUGUUGUAGCCUUGAACUAGCUCACCUGAUUCACUAAUCAAAAGCUUGAUGAUUAAAUCAGGCAUAGCCUACCUUCUAUGGUUUUGUCAUAGUGCUCUGCACACCACUUUAGUCUGACGAACAGUUUUUCCCAAUACAAGGAGUAUGUGUGAGGUGGUAGACAUCUUAAUGGGAUACUAUGAGAUCCAACUAAUUCAUUAUUUUUUCCAAUAUGGAAGGUAUUAGGAUAUAGUGUGAAAAAUAAAUAAUAGAAAAUGAAUUAAAUGUGUUUGAAUCCAAAGAAAGUGCCAUUUUGAAGAUGACAGCAUUGUCAGCUCAUUUACAUUUAAAUUGAACACAACAUAUUUUGGUAGGUCUCAUGUAAAAAGACAGCCAAACUGACUUCUGUGAGUCAUUUGUUUAAUUUUCUUGAGCCCAACACUGGUAAUUCUGACUGCUAACAGCACCCAAGAAAAAAAAAAGUUAUAUCAAAACCUUAAACUCUCCAACAUUUUAAAUGAAAAAUCAAUAAUAGCGGGUACUUGCAAUUUACCACCAGUCAAAUCGCAACAGCUUUUAGUGUUGAUGUUUGAUCAAAGAAGAUGAGGGGGCCAUGAUUUUGUAAUGGUGACCUCUGAAGCGCCUUGGAUAGCCUGCCUGCAAGCCAGACUGAUUUCUCUGAGUAUGUAAUUUCAUAAUAAUCUGCUAUUGAUGAGAACGAAUUUAUCAAAGACUGUGAUUCUGUGUUAUGUAUUGUUGAUUGCAUUUUUUUAAAGAUGCACUUCGAAGAGCACCAUCGGAAAAUGGAAUUGCUGCAAUCUGCCCUGA